UUUGCAUUAUCCCAACCAUGAGUUCUUAUGUGACAUGGAAUAUGAGAACUCUUCGUUGAUCACGUUCAGUGUAUUCAUUCUCUAUUGAGCACCUACGUACUUGUCUUGAUGUCACACACACCAAUGACUCGAGACUAAUCACUCUCCCUAAGAGAAGACAUAGUACGUACCGAUCUUUACGGACUGUCAAUGCCCAAUUGACAAUCCUAUGAUCAGGAACAUUUAGGAUGUGUCUACGAAAGAAUGGUCUCAUGAAUCUAACUUCAUUAGAUUACAUUCUCCCAAUCACAUAUUCCUUGGACUUUAUCGUUUAAGCAUAUAACAUUUAUAUGAAACGGCUCAAACAAUAAUCUUUGCCCUUUAUAUGUAAACUAGAUUAGUUUAACAUGUGAAAUGUCCGUAAAGUAUCAUCAUAUGAUUGGUUUUAGGGCACAUUUCCAACAAUAUAUAUAUAUAUAUAUGUAUGUAUGUAUAAUACGAAAACAGUUAUGAACAUACUAACCCCCAGGUUUAUAAAUAAUGAAAACUACUAACAUAAUAAAUGAUAGGUUUUCUGAAACUCUAGCAUGCCAUAAAACAUCUCAUCAGGUAUAAUGCGGAAAAACAUCAUAUAAAUCAUCACGUGUAUCGUCUUGUAGAUCGUCUCGUAAGUGCGGUGUGCUGCUGGUAGGAUCACUGAAUAAUAAUACUCCCUCCUGGCCCAAUGCCUGUCUCCAUGUCCCUCAACCUUUCGCUAGGGAUUAUUUCUCCCGGCCUAACUGCCAACACCAGAUCCUCACCCCAGGUGGCAUAGUGUCCACUAGGAAUGCACAAAUAGUUACGCCUCUCAAAAUAACCACUUCAUAGUAUAAAGUCAUCCAUCGUUUAUACUUUAAAAAGGGGUUUUGAAAACAUGUUCUAGUAUCCUAUCGUCAUCCAUCAGAUAGUCUACUAAUUCAUGGUUUUAUAGAAAAUACGAUAUAUAUAUAUAUAUAUAUAUAUAUAUAUAGUUCAAUAUAGGCCAACAAUUAAUUCCUUACAAAAGAACGAGAUGAUAAACAACAUUUCAAUAAACAUGCUUAACAUAAAAUCAGUUCAUAAACUCGUAAGGCAUGCAUUUCAUUUAUGAAAUUAAACUAUAAAAUUAUGCAAAUUUUAGAAGGGUUCCACUCACAGAUACUUCGUAGCAGCAGAGUUGUGCGGAAAAGGAUUAAGGAAAUCCCCACUAGCAACUUCAUCAUCUAAUUCCACUUACAAUAACAAGAAUCGCAACUCCUUUCAAAAAAUUGGUGAGAAUAGCGUCUGUUACCGAGGAGUUUCCCAAGAAAAGCAAUUUAUGUAAGCGAAGCCAAAGCUCGUAGAAUUUUUAUGUCAAGCUUACGGUCAAAGGUUAGUGAACUUGACUUCGCUGUUGGGGUAAGCAAAAAGGUUAUCAAUAAAACAAUCAUAGAGAAUUGCUCUAACGAUCCACACGAAUAUCCUUACUGGAAACGAGUACAAAAACAUUGAUUUGCUCCCACCAACUACCACCUACUAACCGUCGUCACCAAUAGCACUUAAUCCCUUCUUUAGCACGCACUUCGAAUGUUUCGAGCAAUUUCCUAGAGAUAUGACUCUGCCCGCCAUUCCCAUGGAACGCAUGUUGCAGAGUGGCAUCGCCAUUUCGGAUCUACAAGUAGUCUUGACCAUACUUCCGCAAACUGAGAUUUCUAAAACACGUCGCAGAGUAUCCAUCCGAUGUUGAAAGUCAUCCAACAAAUCAAACACGUCACCGAUGAGGCACAAUCCCAACACAAAUUCUUGAAUUUCAACAAGAAGGUGACAAUUCAAACAGAGAAAAAGGUUUGCACAAUUGCGCCGAAUGGCAUUAAAUCUAGAAGUCUUGACAUCCAAAUGAUGUCAAAACCGACACUUUAAGAGAAUAUAAGAGAAUCCUAAGUAUGCUCUGAACAAACCACACUCUAAUACCAAUCUGACACGCCCCGACCCUAAUAUUUCCCGAAUACCAGAAUAAACACGUGCUGGCCGACACCCGAGGGUGACGAAAGCCAUUAAUUGAUACAAAAGCUAAGAAUAAGAAGUAAACAAUGGUUAUGAAUUUAAAUACAAUGACUUAAAAAUUUAGGAACGUGUUCAGAGCAUACAACUAACUAGAGCUCUAAAAGAAUUAAUAAAAAAUUGAAUAAAUAAAAGGAUGUGGGUCCUACACCGAGAGGACUCUGAUCUGAUAUAAACUAGCACUCAAAUUAAACCCUCUUAUUGACAAUUGUAGUAAAGAUGUAAGUAGAGAUCGUUCUAGGCCGGGGAUUAUAAGGGAUUGCUAAUCUACUUAAAACUGACUCAAAAACAUAAAACUAGGCUUGAAAACACUUAACUAGACUCAAAGAACUCAAAACAAACUAAAAAGACUCACAACAACACAAAACAAUCAAAUAGACUCAAACUAUACGCUAGAAAGUGAUUUGGACGAAAAUUGAUUUUAACUUGACUUAAAACACUUAAAAACACAAUUUGGACAAAUUCUAACUAACUUGACACAACCAAAUAAAGGGGGAUUGGGUUUUGGAUGAAAUUAAAGUAAAAACAAGCAGAUUAUAAACUUAAACAAAGUUUGGACGAAAUUGGUGAAUUGGAUGGAUGAUAAGCUAGGUAGAGGGUCAUUCUCCACAUAUAACACAUAUGCACACGAAUUGAUUUCCAGUUACUCUUUCAAUAAACCAUGAACCUCAACGCCCCAGAUUAACCGUGAAUAGCACUAAUUAACCCUCAGAUUUUCCUUAAGUCAUUGAAUUUGAUGGACAACGCAUCGGCAACCAAAUUAUUCUUCAAUAGUUCCCUACAUGAACAACAUAAUAGAGAUACAAUAAAAAAUCAUUAAGCUUUGGAAAAUCAUAAGCAUUGACAAGGCAUUCGUAACUAUGAACAACAUGAUAGUCCUGCCAAGAAUCCACUUAACGUGAUUGUGACUAGCAACCUCCACUACUUAUGAAUAUAAGUUCAUAACGAUUAGGUGAAACUUCCUUAUAUUCUAGCAUCAAAUUCAUGCAUGCAAACUAAGCUGGCCCUCUUAAUCAACAUACAAUUAUAAGUUCUGAAUCAAACAAUUAAGUAAAUUGCAUUCACAAUUCACAAAAUUAUAACUGGAAAUAACCAACUCAUAUUGCAUAUAUUAUCAUGGUUUCAAAGUCUCCUCUAGCCAAAACGAGUUUAGCCUCUCAUGUUCACAGCAAAACAAAGAGAAUUUAAAUUAAACAUUGAGAACUAAGAUAGAUUACACCUAAAAACGUCCAGCAAUCCAACUUGAAUAGCCAAUACGUCCAAGGCUGCUCCUUCUUCUUCUGUGCUGCAGCACAAGGGUUGUGAUGAUAGAUGAGCGGUGAUUUGUGGUGGUAGAUGGAUGUAGGUGAGUUAUGGUGAAGGAUGGAUUGGUAUUGUAGUGAUCAGAACCCCCCAAGUAGUGCGGCAAAGGGUUUUAUUUAUAGGGAUGGGAAAGGCACGACCUAAUUAAUUUUUGUAAACAGGUUUGAUCCCAAAUCCACAAGGAAAAAGAGAAAUAAAUAUCAGAAUUUAAGAAGAAAGGGAAUGUGGGGUGCGGCACAACUUUGAGAAAAGGGGAAAGAAGAUAUGUGGCAGAUUUUGGAAGAAAGGGUAACGAGAUAUGCGGCAAGGACUAGGAGAAAAAGGGAAAGUCAUACAAUGCAAGGAAAAUGGUAAGAAAGGUGCGGCAAAGAUCAGGAAUGAAAUUAGAUCUUCUAGAAUCAUUUAUUUAGUGUCCUAAAAUAAUUAGAGAUCCUCCUUGCAGCUGGAAAUUAGGUGGUUUAGGAUUAGGAAAAGAUUAGGACAAAAUAAGGUAACUUUGGCUAACAUUCCUUCUUUCUUGCUUGCAUCUUUAACUUCCUUUUCUUGAAUUAAUUUCUUCAUAACUUCAGCAUAAUCCUAACCUAUUUUGGUCUUCAAUUUUCGUCCAUCCACCUUGCUCCAUGUAUGUGAUAUCAAUUCUAAGCCCAAAACUGCUCCAAAAAACUCCAAAAUGCACUUUCUUGCUACUUUAGCUUAAAAGACUAAAAUAACUAUGGACUAACAACAUAAAUGCAAGAAAACAAGCUAACUAAGUCACAUAAAUAUGCUUCUAUCAGACUCGAAUAUGCCAAUGCGAAAGCAUUGACUUCGGGAUCGUAUGCCUCAAUUCUAAAUCCUAAAAAGGGGCACAACACAAGGGUGAGUGGACCAAGUUCAUAUAUAUAUGUAUAAUACGAAAACAGUUAUGAACAUACUAACCCCCAGGUUUAUAAAUAAUGAAAACUACUAGCAUAAUAAAUGAUAGGUUUUCUGAAACUCUAGCAUGCCAUAAAACAUCUCAUUAGGUAUAACGCGGAAAAACAUCAUAUAAAUCAUCGCGUGUAUCGUCUCGUAAGCGCGGUGUGUUGCUAGUAGGAUCACUCAAUACUAAUACUCCCGACCCAAUGCCUGCACCAAAGUCUCUAUGCCCGUAGCCAGAGAUAACUCCCUCCCGGCCCAAUGCCUGUCUCCGUGUCCCUCAGCCUUUCGCUAGGAAUUAUUUUGAAGGGAAAUAAUGAGAUUUAUGUGGGAUUUCUAGUGACUAGCAUGCAUAUACAAUUCAAAAUUCAUAUACAUACGCAACGGAAGCAUGUUAUCACAUAAUAUCAAAGCUAUAGUCAUGCAAAUCCCCUUCAAGAAGCAUAGGUUUAUAUGUGAUGCAUCAAAACAUUUUAUUGAAGAACAAAGUGAAGGUAUAGUUUUAUACCUCUUGAUCUAGACUUGAGACCAAGGAUGGACCACCUCCAAGUUCUUUGCUCUUGGAACUCCUUGAGCCUAGCCUCCCUCCUUGCCUCCUCCACUUUGUUAGAAUGAGUACUCAUUGGUUCCCCUUUAGUCUCCAAGAUUGAAGACCUCUAAAGAUCCACACCCACUAGUGUAGUGAGAUGGAUGGAGGAAUAACCAAAGGGUGAGAAGAUGAUUAGCUAAACCCCUUUUGGUGGCCGACCUUGUGUGUGGUUUUUGAGAGAGAGGUUUUCUUCUUUUGUGAAAAAUCAACACACAAAACCCUAAUAAACUUUUCACUAUAAAGUUCCUUUUAUAUCUCAAAGAAAACUAGCCAACCACUUGACUUCCUCUCUCUCCCUUUCCCUCCAUUUGGCCGGCCUCUUUAGUGUUGUUUGGGCUUUGGGCUUUUAUUAUUUCAAGUCAUCCUAUGCUUAAAUAAAAGCCCAAUGGGUUUGGGCUUAAUGGCCCAAAUGAACCCGAACUUUUCUUUAAGCCCAAAACGAUAUUUUAUCGCUUUUAUGAUUUCUUUAGACUUUCUAAUUAAUCACAACACUUAAUUAAUCCAAUUAAUUAUUUCCAUCAUCCAUUAGUUGUCUCACUACAAGAGUGUAUCGGUGUACAAUCAUUUUAGGUUCUAAUUAGCAAGGCAGUGAGGUGAUUGGCACCAAUCCAAUUGAUUAUAUUUAAUCCAAUCACUUAGUGAAUUAAAACUUACUUUUAAUUCUCAUUCUUCUUUGACGACUAACCAUAUAUCAUGGCUACCCAAGCUAAUGUAGAAUUUGUUCGGAGAACCUAUUCAGUUGGAAUUACAAUGUAAUUUGAUCAUUCUCUAAAAUAAUACUCUCAAUCACACUAUUAGGGUAUGGAUAUAUUAUGUCAAACCCCUAAUGUGAUUAUUCCAUGUUAUAUGAUUCAAUUGAGUCGUAUGGGAACGCUUUCCUUUAUUACGCUCAAUACUUCAGCCGAAGAUUCCCGAAUCAUAUCUUAGAGUAUUCAUCCUCUCAUAAUGAGGAUUAGAGAUCCCUUGUUGCGCAUUUACUUGCCUCCAUGGCUAAGUGGCUUAACCCCAACUAUGCCGUGGACACCCGCGAAUGGAGUGACUUUGACAUAAUCAAAGAUCAAGGACCUAACCACAAGACAACUAUGAUGCCUCAGGUCAAAGGACUACUUACAUUAUUCCAACCAUUAGAGUUACUUGCUUGACAUGUGAGUAUACCUCCAUGCAAGUACUCUCGUUCGAUUGUGUUCAGUGAACUCAUUCCCUUAAUGAGCACCUACAUACAUGUCUUAGUGUCACUACACGAAUGGGAUGUGACUUUCCAUCCUUCCAAUUGAAGGGGACAUAGUAUGUACUGGUCUUUGCAUUGUCAGUAUCCCUCUGACAAUCAUAUGACCAGGAACCUUUUGGACAUGAUGGUUAUGUGAAGAAGGUCUCUGUAGUCUAACAUCAUUAGAUUACUUCUUCCAUCGAUCCAUUGUCCAUGGAUUCAUUAUUUAGGACAUAUAUCGUUUAUUGAGAUAGUCCUAAUUAGUAUCUUUGCCUUUUGAUGCAUAAGAGUCAUCUAUACACACAUUCAUUGUCCUGAAAGGUUUCUUCCAAAGAUUGACUUUCAGGGCAUAUUUCCAACAUAUUUCUCCCGGCCUAACUACCAACACUAGAUCCUUACCCCAGGCGGCAUAGUGUCCACUAGGUACGCACAAAUAAUUCCUUACAAAAGAACAAGACGAUAAUCAACAUUUCAAUAAACAGGCUUAACAUAAAAUUAGUUCAUAAACUCGUAAGGCAUGCAUUUCAUUUAUGAAAUUAAACUAUAAAAUAAUGCAAAUUUUAGAAGGGGUCCACUUACAGAUACUCUGUAGUAGCAGAGUUGUGCGGAAAAGGAUUAAGGAAAUCCCCACUAGCAACUUCACCUAAGCACAAAAAAUGUACAAUUUAUUCAAACCACCCAACUAUAGAAUUUCAAGAAAUGGAAUUUGGUCUUGGGUUUGGAUUCGGAUUAAGGCUUAGGUUUAGGUUAAAUAGGGUUAGGACUUAUUGGGUUUUGGGUUUGGGCAGGAACAAAUGGGUGGUUUGGGCUUGAGCCCAAUCCAUACCACACACACAACACACACACACACACUGACACACACAUACACAACACACACACGCACUCACCCACAUGGACACACAUACACACACCACACACACACAAUCCUCAGCCCAAAGCAAAGCACGACCCGCAAGCCAAAUAACCAACCAAAAAGAAGGUUGGGCUUAACCCACUUGAAUAAAACCUGCAUGAGGCCCCUUUUUGGGCUUUUAUAACAAUUAGCUGAAAAUAAGAGGAAGUGGGCUGGGUUUUAUGGUUCUGGGCUGUCCAAAUAUGGGCUAAGGCCCGUGAGUGGCCUAAAAUGGCCUGGUGGCCUGCGUGGUGCUCGGAGAAGAACACCGGAGCUGUUACAGCUCCGGUCAACGGCAAAUGUGCCAUCCAAGCUUCAAACUACACAUCAAAAUGAAGAGGGGAGAGAGAGGAGUAAUAAUAUACCCUUGUUUCACCGUGAAACGGCCAGAUGUGAUCGGAAAGCUCCUUGAAAAUCACGGGUUCGUCGGAAAAAUUGGUGAGUUUUCCCCCGCGUCAUUCCCGUCUUUAAAACCUUGAUAAAAACAAGAUGAAACCCAUCAAACAUCAUGCAUGCAUCCUCAACAACAAUUAAGAGGAGAUCUAAAACUUACCCAACCGGAAAAUUUAAGAAAACUCGCCGGAGGUUCUUUUCUUGGGUUCUCUGAGUUGUGCAGAGACAAGAGGAAAAGGAAAAGAACGAGGUUCAGAUGGUGAAUGUGUCUUCCUCGAGCAGAGAGUGCAGCUGGGUGUGUGAGUGUGUCUCGGUGAAGAUAGGGAAAGAGGAUGGAAGUGAGAUGUGGGGGGACAGAGAGAGAAACAGCAGGAUGAUGAUGACGAUGAUGACGCCGUUGACGUCGGGGAGGGUGGUGUGGUGCUCUCGGGUGUGGAUUGAGGGGUAAGAGAUCGGGGAGUAAGGGAGAGAGAGAUGAGAGUGAGAUGCCGGGGGACAGAGAGAGAAUGAGGUUUGUUAGAGUGCUGCCACCUGGCAGUUUGAGGGAGUUUAGGAAUCUGGAUAAAGGGUCUAGAUUUAGUCAAGCUAGAGGACCAAAAUGAUAAAUUCAAUAAAACUUUGGGAAAAUAUAAAAUUACAUAUAAGUUCAGGGGUGCGGUUUAACAUAUUCCGUCAACUUUGACGGAAUAUUCUCUUCCUUCUUCCUUGGUUCGUCGGAGUCCGAUGCUAGUGACCUGUGCGAUUAUCGGAUUCUGGGAAAUUUUCUAAGCUUAAAUUCUCACUCAUUUCUCAACCAAAAUCCAUGAAAUUUACACCAAAAUGAAGCUUAGGAAAAAAGGAACAAAUCCUUACCACUUUUAGGUCCUAAAUCCACCAGAAAUUUGCCAGAAAAACUUGAGGAAACCGGCCAAACCCUGCAACUAUAUAAACCCAAGUGUUCUUACGUCAAAACCACUCCAAAAUUGAUCCAACGUGCUAGAAAAUCAAGAAUAAUACCUUCUUAGGUCUCAAAACAACCUAAAACCUUCGCGAUCACGUCGAAGAAAAUUCACCCCUCACCGGAGCUUGGGUAACUUGAGUUUUACAAGUCCUCACGUCCAACCAAGGAUAUAAAUCAACUCUUGAGCUUGAAAGGAAGACGAAAACCACCUUCACAGUCUCGAUCCAUGCAUGAAAGGGAUGGUUAAGGGAUUGUUCGUACAAUUGUACGGAAAAUGGAAGAAAUCCGAGAGGGAAAAGAGAGAGAGAAAUUCAACGGGAGGGUGAUAGUGUGUGUGGGGUCCAGAUUUGGGCUACCAAACAAAACAAAUAAAAAAAUUUAAUUCUAAUGGAUCCAAACACUUAGGAAAGAAAUCAAGUGGUCCACAUCCUUAGCCCAUUUACACACCACCACCAGACGCUCAAGGGUAAAAUAUUAAUUUCCCCGCCCUCGAGGACAAAAUAAUAUAAACAUUCGAGAUGGGUUGUCACAUUUAUAGUAUAACUUGUUUGUUAAUCUUAAUGUUUGAUCACCAUUAGGGUUGCUUAUGAAUUAUUUGAUCAAGGUGAAGGAAAUUUUGUGAAAAACAUGUUCAUUUGAGCAACAUCUAUAACAUGCAAUUAACAAAUUAAAGGCGGAAUCAUGCUUGCAUGCACUCAAAACAAAACAUUACCCAUGAAAUUCAAAGCCUAGUAGUUAGGUGAACCAAGACUCAACUCAAAAGAAAGUGAGUUGAGAAAUUUAUACCUUUGUAGAUUCCGCUUUGCAAAAGCAAAGGAUAAUCACCCAAAAGACAGGGCCUUCAUUCCUUGCUUCUUAGAUCCAUGGAUUUGGAUGGAAGAAUAGGUUUCUCCAAGUUCCCAAAAUUGAGAACCUCUAAGUCUCCAUGAUAGGAGCAUAUUUAUGCGCCUUAGUUUAGCUUGUUCUUGUGCAUUUAUAGUGUUUUUCCUUAGUAAAGUAGUCUUUUAAGCUAGUUUCUUGUGUUAUCAGGUUUUAAAGGCAUAUUACAUAAAAAGAAGCAAUUUGGAGCCUUUUGGAGCAAAAUGGAGCUUGGAUUGGAUAUCACAUAUUUGGAGCCAAGGGUUUGGACGAAAUUUGAAGAUUUGAAGAUGAUGAUUCCUACUUGAGAUAGGAUUCCUAGUUGAAGUAGGAAAUAGCCAAAUUGAAGAUGAAAUCCUAGUCCAAGAAGGAGUCCUAAUCAAUCAAGGAUUCCUAAUUGAAGGUGGAUUCCUAGACGAAUGAAGUUUCCUACUCAAACAAGGUUUCCUACUCGAAGUAGGAAAGUUAAAUCCAAAUGGCAUCAAGUUUCAGCAAUAAAGAAGUUUUCCAAAUCCAAGAAGGAAAAGGUUUCCAAGAUGAAGAAGGAGAAGAAUUCCAAGUCAAGGGAGGAUUGAGACAUGUUUUCCUAAUGCUAGAAGGACUCCUAAGUGUUGUAGGACACAAAUGAGAAGUUUCUAGAGAGUUGUCUUCCUUGCCGUGAGUUCCUACAUUUCCUAUCAGUUUUGGGGCUUUCUAGAAGCCCUAUCCCUAAUCCCUACAAAUGUGCCGCACCCUAGCUUCUAGAAAUCUGAUUUCCUUGCCUUGCAAAGCUUUCUAGAAGCCUUAUCCACCUUAUCCCUAUCCAGCCGCACCUAGGAGGCCUUUUUCCAUUCAAUUUCUGGUUGUUUUAAGCCUUUUCCUGAUGGGAUUUAAUUAUACAAGUCCUAAUCUGAUUUGCUAGGGUUUUUGGGGCCUAUAUAUACUUGUUUUCACCCUUUGGCCGAAUCACCACUCACCACAAUUCACAAUUCACUCCAGAAAUUCGUCCAACCCUCUCCACACCUUUGCCGCAGCCACCAAACACCUUUCUCCCUAGUUUUUAAGCCUUGCCGCACCAUCCCCAUCCCCUAAACACUACUACAUUCAUCCAUAACCAUGCAUCCAUACACCUAAGGUCCUAAACCUGUCCCUAGACCCUUUGCCGCACCAAGGAGGAGGAGAAGGAAGCUCGGAAGUUCAUGCAAUUCAAGUUCGCGUCGCUGGAAUUUCUAGGUGUUUCUUUUCCUUUGAUUUUAAUUUCUAAAUUUAUGUAUCUUUGCUUUGCGAGUAUGAGGAACUAAACCCCCCCUUGGCUAGGGGGGGAUUCGAAACCAUGUUUAUGCUUGCUAUAUGAUUUGAUUACUUCUAAUUGCGUUUCAUAAGUUGUGAAUUCAAUUUACUUAUCUACAAGAAUUAAAAUUGAUUUGUGUAUGUUGGUUGAGGGUCGACACUUAAUUUGCAUGCAUGAAUUUGAUGCUAGGAUAUAAGGAAAUUUCACCUAAUCGUUAUGGACUUAUAUUCAUAAGUAGUAAAGGUUGAUGGUCUCAAUCGCGUUAAGUAAAUUCUUGGCAUAAGUUUCAUGCAAUCAUAGUAACAAGUGCUUCGUCAAUGCUUGUGGUUUUCAUAGAACUUAAUGAUUCUUGCUUGUAUCUCUAUUAUGCAAUCAUGUAGGGGACUUGUGGGGAAUGCUUUGGGUUGUCGUAUGCAAUCAUCCAAUUCAAUAACGUUAGGAAAAUCUGAAGGUUAAUUUAAGCGGACCUAAUUAACAUGUGUGGAGAUGAACCCCUUAGCUAGCCUUCCAUCCAUUCAUUUAAAUCAAAUUCGUUUUUAAAAUCUGUCUAGUUUACAAAGUUUGUUUUGUUUUCAAAUUCGUCCAAAAUCAAUCCCCCUUUUCUUUGUUGAGUCAUAUUAGUUAGAAGUCAAGUUAGUUUGUGUUUUUAAGUGUCUUAGGUCAAGUUAAAACCAAUUUUCGUCCAAGUUUGUGUCUAGUGUUCAAAACUGCCCAGAUUGUGUUUUUAAGGCAGUUUUGAGUGUUUUGGGGCAGUUUUGAGUCUUUUGGUUUGUUUUAGUGUUUUAAAGUUUAGUUUUGCAUUCUUUGAGUCUAGUUUAGUGUUUUAAACUUGUUUUUACGUAUUUGAGUUAGUUUUCAAGUGAUUUUGCAAUCCCUCCUAAUCCCCGGCCUAGAACGAUCCCUACUUACAUACUUACUACAAUUGAUAAAAAGAGGGUUAAUUUGAGUGCUAGUUAAUUUUCACAUCACUCCACACCAAGGUAAGAUGUGAAGAAAAGAUGAGUGACCUUGGAGGAGAAAGAUUAAUAGCUAAUCCCUCCAAGGGUGGCCGGCCUCUUUAGAGAGAAAAGAGAGCUUUGUGUUCUCUCCAAUUUCCUCAAAAAACCCUAAAUGAAUUUUGGCUAUAAAGUCAUAUUUAUACCUUUAUUCAUUGGAGUGGCAAACUUGUAAUUAAAGCAAGUUCCCUCCCUCUAAAUGGCCGGCCUUAGGGUAUUAUUGGGCUAUUUGGGCCUUUGUGAAUCAUUAUUCAUUAAGUUGUCAUACAACUUAAGUCAAUGGACUUGACGUUCAAAGCCCAUUGGGCCUUAAGGUCCAAUACUAUUCCGAGGUUUUUAACGAACUUAUUCGUUUGAUUAAUUAACAUAUUAAUUAAUCCUUGCCAUAAAUAAUUAAACCAUUUAAUUA
rnacentral:lncRNA from 1 species